rnacentral:rRNA from 1 species
AGCAGCCGCGGUAAUUCCAGCUCCAAUAGCGUAUAUUAAAGUUGUUGCAGUUAAAAAGCUCGUAGUUGAAUUUCGGGAUUGACCCAUCGGUCGUGCCUUAAGGGGGUAUGAACUGGUGUAGUCAAUUUCUCACCUUCUGGAGAACCGCGAUGUCCUUAAUUGGGUGCCGCGAGGAACCAGGACCUUUACUUUGAAAAAAUUGAGUGUUUAAAGCAGGCAUUUUUGCUUGAAUACAUUAGCGUGGAAUAAUAAAAUAGGAACGGCAUGGUUCUAUUUUGUUGGUUUCUAGGAUCACCGUAAUGAUUAAUAGGGAUAGUUGGGGGCAUUAGUAUUCAAUUGUCAGAGGUGAAAAUUCUUGGAUUUNUUGAAGACUAACUACUGCGAAAGCAUUUGCCAAGGAUGUUUUCAUUAAUCAAGAACGAAAGUUAGGGAUCGAAGACGAUCAGAUACCGUCGUAGUCUUAACCAUUAAACUAUGACCUACUAGGGAUCGGAUGAUUGUUAAUUUUUAAUGUACUUCA